GCUACUAUUAGUGGCACUCCUGACUAGAGAUUGCAAGUCUACAAUUGAUGCUAAUUGAGAAAAACAAUGAAGACAUUGAUUCAUGAGUUACUCCUCUUCUUGUGGCUGCAGCUGGACUGGGUGAUCCAAGGAAAGAAGGUGGAGCAGUAUCCUUCUGUCCUGAGUGUCCAUGAAGGAAACCACUCUGUUAUCAACUGCAAUUACUCAGACAGUGGUUCAUACUACUUCUCUUGGUACAAGCAAGAACCUGGAAAGGGUCCCCAGCUCAUUAUUGACAUUCAUUCAAAUCAGGACACAAACAGUAAAGACAGACUCAUGGUUUUACUGAACAAGAAGGACAAACAUUUCUCCCUGCACAUCAGUGGCACCUGGCCUGGGGACUCAGCCAUCUACUUCUGUGCAGCGAGUACACAUUGCUUCCCAGGCACCUGCAACCUGUCCUCAAACCUGACACUGAAGCUGCAGCCCUACCCUUGUCCUUUGCCACUGACUAUUUCGUACAGCAUUUGACAGUUGUUUUUUUGUAAGUGGCAACUAUCACACAGACAUUAAUAAAUGUUAUAAGAUGAUUAGGUUCUUGGUGACUCAAAAAUGGUUAGAACAUUUUGUUGGCUGAUGGUUUACAGG